GGGCGUAUAGCUCAGUUGGUAGAGCGCUUCGUUUACACCGAAGAUGUCCAGGGUUCGAGUCCUUGUGCGCCCA
rnacentral:tRNA from 1 species